UUUGCCAAGUCUUCAAGGGGGAAGCCACGCUUUUCGAUGCUCCACAAUUUAUAGAAGAAUAAUUAAAAAACAAUCAGAAAACGAAUAUAUUACUGAAACUAAAUUGAUACGACCUACCGUAAAAAGCCGAUCCAAAAAAUGAGGAGAUCAAAAAAAAUUUCUGUAGCAGAUUUCCGUUUUACAAAUUCACUUUCGAAUGUUCCCACCUAACUUUAAGGGUAAACAUCACUUCACAUUUACAGGAGAGAAACAAGAUGUAUCAUCUUCCACAAAUCCAGAAUCUUCGUGUUACUGAAACUUCGCCAUGAAAUACCCGUUUCAUCAACUUCAGAAUCAACUUUUUAGUCAUUGGAGAAUUGAAUCUAGUCAUUGGAGCGAUCAUCGAACACGGUUAUUGGAAGUAUAUUUAGCUUUUAACUUCACUUUUCUAGGUACUGAAUCGAACAUUGAAGAAACUUGUCGAUAAUUUUAUUGCUCAUAACUAUCACUUUUCUCUAAUCCACUUGUCAAUUGUUUUUUUUUGUCUGAGCAAUUUUUCUUACAAUUCAUCAUUCCUUGUGUUACUGAAUUAUCCUAAUGUUGCAAUUCUAUAAUAUCGAAAUGUAUUGUGUUCCCUGCCGUUUUAUUCUGAAUAUGUUGAUAUAUUUAAUUGGCGACUCAACCUAAAUAUUUCAAUAAAAAAUCAACCCAGGA